rnacentral:rRNA from 1 species
CCUACGGGAGGCUGCAGUGAGGAAUAUUGGUCAAUGGGCGCGAGCCUGAACCAGCCAAGUCGCGUGAGGGAAGACGGCCCUCCGGGUUGUAAGCCUCUUUUGCCGGGGAGCAAAGCGAGUCACGUGUGACUCAUUGAGAGUACCCGAAGAAAAAGCAUCGGCUAACUCCGUGCCAGCAGCCGCGGUAAUACGGGGGAUGCGAGCGUUAUCCGGAUUUAGUGGGUUUAAGGGGUGCGCAGGCGGAGGUGCAAGUCAGCGGUAAAACUGCGGGGCGCAACCCCGUACUGCCGUUGAAACUGCAUGCCUAGAGUGCUCGAGAGGGAUGCGGAAUGCGUGGUGUAGCGGUGAAAUGCAUAGAGAUCACGAAGAAUUCCGAUUGCGAAGGCAGCAUACCGGCGAGCAACUGACGCUCAGGUACGAAAGCGUGGGUAUCGAACAGGAUUAGAUACCCCAGUAGUC